GGAAGAAUGCCCGAGAGGCCUAUGGGCGCUGUUUUGAAAACAGAUGGGUGUAACAGCCACGCGGGUUCGAAUCCUGCUUCUUCCGC
rnacentral:tRNA from 1 species